GGGCCCGUAGCUCAUCUGGCUAGAGCGCUUCGAUGGCAUCGAAGAGGUGGUCGGUUCGAGUCCGAUCGGGUCCA
rfam:Microgenomates (Gottesmanbacteria) bacterium GW2011_GWA1_48_13 TY27_C0009, whole genome shotgun sequence.